rnacentral:ncRNA from 1 species
CAAAAUGCCAAGAAGGAGAAAGGUAUUUUUUAGUAGGUGGUUACAGAGAGUCAGGAUUUGGUGAGAACUGAUGCUAUCGAUAAAAUACGAAUCACUCCUGAGCAGUAUCUUUGAAAAGUUUUAUACUUAGUAGUUGAUACCGAUUAGUCCCGUUAAAGACUUAGGUUUAGUAGAACUGACAGUGAGUGAUGUCUUUAUGACAUAACUAAGGUGGUACCGCGGGUUAUAACUCGUCCUUAUU